rnacentral:tRNA from 1 species
UGGUAGAGCAGAGGACUGAAAAUCCUCGUGUCC